UCCAAUUUUGAUCUAAAAUGGAUAUAAAUGACAUGGAUCUGAUGGAUUUUGAGGACAUGGAUUCUAUUGAACCGUCUCGGCAAACCAUACGAUACCGUCGCCGAGCAAAUCCGUUUUUACUAGAAGAACCUGACUUCAAAAGUAAAUACCGUUUUUCGAAACGUUUUGGGCAAAAAUUGGUGGAUUUGUUACGAGAGGAUUUGGCACACGAUCCUCGAGGCUGCCCCUUAAGCCCUGAGCUGCAGGUGGUUUGCGCCUUACGCAACUGGGCUCGCCACGAAAUUCAAGAUGAUACAGCUGAUUUGCAUGGUGUAUCACAACCAGUUAUCAGCAAGACAUGCAAAAAGGUGGCAGAAUGCCUCUCAAGAACGGGCUCAAAUUCUCCAAUCACCAGCUUCAGUGCCGGAAGCUUACAGCGGCCUAGACAGGCAGCUCGCUUUUUGGGUUAUUUGGAGUAGGAAGAUAAACCACAAAUUACGCUACCGGAACCAGCUAUACUUUUGAAUUUCUAUAAAGCCUCCUCUUGUUCUAUUAAUAUUGCAGACAAUGUGAUAUUUGUGAGAAAACUUCUGCUACAUGUUUGUUCACUACUGGUUGGGAACAGUCAUGUUCAGAACAGUAUUGUUGUAUAAAGUUCGUAAUUCAUUUGUAGACUAAUGUGGUUACCAAGUUUCAAAAGGGCUAAGGGAAGAUACUAAUUAAAAAUUCAUGUACAAACUUAAGUUAUAGAAAAUAUUUAUUAUAAUAAAAUCUUUAAAACAAUCAACAGAAUAAGAAAAAAUGAUGUUAAUUUUAAGAUAAAAACUUAAUUGGUAUUUCUCUUGCUUUCUAAUAAAUCUAUUUCCAAUUCAA